AAAUCCAUAGCUUCUUGUGAUAAGAUGUAAACAAUUCAUAUAAUUCUUCAAGAAUUUUAGAAAAUGGAAAUAUAACCUUUCCAUUAUCGCAACAAAAAAUAGGAGGCUUGUAUUGAAAUUUUGUAGCUCCGCAAUAAAUGCAAUCAGACACCUUUUUUAAAUCAUUUAGUAUAGAAUCUGAAUGCAUAAACAAUCAAUUUAAAUUUAAUAAAAAAAAUUAAGCCAAAACAUUGUAUUACUUAUUAUUGAUAUCGCAUGAAUUCUCUUGUUUUAAGUUUGA
rnacentral:lncRNA from 1 species